ensembl:lncRNA LINC01681 long intergenic non-protein coding RNA 1681
AUGGUUAGAGUCUCAGUCUCUAUUACGGGCCCUAGUACACUUCAGGAACUCAAAAGCUUUGCUGAUAUAAUGCAAGGUGAUAAAAAAGUAGAAAGACUUGGGAUAAUCUUGAUUUCUGAAGGCAUCAAACGGGAAUUAGAGAAAGCAGCAGGAAAAACGAAGGCCUUUUUAAGUUCCAUGAGAACUACGGUUUGCAAGACUGGUCAAAACAGUACAAUGCAAGCGGCAAGAAUCAGGAAGUGCACAGAAACAAGAAGCUCGGUGCACACUGGGAUCAGGCAAGCAUCUGGGAGAAGACUGUAGCAAGACUGGAUCCUGAGAAAUAUACAGAGUUCAGAGGCUCCAUGGCUACACUUUGGGCAUGUAUGUCAUUACAGGAAUGAAAAAAAGAUGAUGGCCAAAUGCUGUAUUAAAAUCCCAUUAGAAAUGCCGGGAGAAAUUUAUGGCCCCAAUCUCUUUUAUCUGACAGCAGUUCCCAUGUGAUCCAUCAGGCUCUGAACAUGAAUUUUAAUGGGCUCAGAACCACUUCUCUACCCUGAGGUCACAGGCUGUCAGAGUGAAUCUUCCACAAACUGAUUGGAACCUGAAGAAUUUGCUCUGUCAAGAGAGCGAGAGCUUCCAAUUAAAAGGAAGAAGGAAGAACAGGACAUAUUUUCUGUAAGAACAAAAAAUGCCACAUGGUGCUUACCCUACCUGGCUGAUUUCUCUGUUAGGAAUAUAAUCUUCACAAGGCAGAGAGUAUUUUUCUUAUCAGUGCUGCUCUGGCCAAGUCACCUCGCUGAAAUCUCCACUUCCACUUGUGCAACCUACCAAGCCACUCUCUACACAGCUGCCAGAGUGAUUACAAAAACAACGCGGGAUUAUGCUACCCCUGCUUAUCUAAAAUUUGUCAAAAUGCCCGUUACACUUUGAAUAAAAUACAGAUUCCUCUCAGAUCU